rnacentral:rRNA from 1 species
CCCUUAGACGUUCUGGGCCGCACGCGCGCUACACUGACCAGUGCAACAAGCAUCCGUCCUUGGCCGACAGGCCCGGGCAAUCUUUGAACGCUGGUCGUGAUGGGGAUAGACUUUUGCAAUUUUUGGUCUUCAACGAGGAAUUCCUAGUAAACGCAAGUCAUCAACUUGCAUUGAUUACGUCCCUGCCCUUUGUACACACCGCCCGUCGCACCUACCGAUUGAAUGGUCCGGUGAAAUCUCCGGACUGGCGUGAGUCGGAGCAAUCUGACAAACACCGGAAAGUUGAUUAAACCUUACCAUUUAGAGGAAGGUGAAGUCGUAACA